GCACCCAUGGCGGAAUUGGUAGACGCAAGGGACUUAAAAUCCCUCGAUCCUUGAUCGUGCCGGUUCGAUUCCGGCUGGGUGCACCA
rnacentral:tRNA from 1 species